rnacentral:lncRNA from 1 species
GGGGUGAAGGGAAAUGCCACAGACAUCCAUGGUCUUGGAUGCUCAACAGAAGUGCUUGCCUUGGUGAUCCAAAAAAGGCAGGAUCCGGCCGGGGGCAAGGUGAUUAUUCUGUCUGAUGAGGAGAAUAAGAGCCAGUUUGUGGUAUUGACAGAAGAAUGAAAGUAAAGUCUUGAAAGAUGGGAAGAUCAGGAGCAGUCUGGAGUCAUGGUAUAUGAAUGAACUAGUGAGAGUGGGCACAAAGUCUGAAGAUCUUUGUAGUGCAGCUAAUGUCUAAGGGAGAAUAUACCUACCCUAGAAGAGACAUUAAACAACCAGGUUGUCUCUUCAUUCUGUUGAUUGUUUCCUUUGUUGUAAAAGAAACUCACUUUACAGGAAAAGAGGUGCAACAGUGGCUGGAUGAUUAUAAGAUCGACUGUUCCUAUUAAAAACUACACCAUCCAAAAGAGGCUGCCAUUGAAGAGCAAUAAAGUAGUUCAUAGAAGGCAUAGGAAGCUUACUGCAGGAAAGAAAUCCCUCAGAGUCCUGAAGAUACAGCUUUCAGAACUUAGGUGAAGCAAGAGGACUCAAGGUGUGCAAGAAUGGACAGUACAGAAUGCUCUGCUACACUGCUCAGAUUCCCCCUUCAGGAAGGAAGGACAAAUUCACUCAACUUCUGGGAGCAUUGAUGGUUGAGCUCUCAGCCAUCAGACCUUUUUGGAAGUUGCCCUCUUCUGAAAAGAGGCACAUUGCCCAAGAUCUUUCCUCCUCCAGAGCGCAGGCUGCACCUGAAGUCUGAUUGAUGUGGGGUAUGAUGGUCUGGUCUCCUUUCCCCAUCUAAAGGACUGUUCUAACC